rnacentral:rRNA from 1 species
UACAGAGGGUGCAAGCGUUAAUCGGAAUUACUGGGCGUAAAGCGUGCGUAGGCGGUUACAUAAGUCGGGUGUGAAAGCCCCGGGCUCAACCUGGGAAUUGCAUUCGAGACUGCGUAGCUAGGGUGCGGAAGAGGGAAGCGGAAUUUCCGGUGUAGCGGUGAAAUGCGUAGAUAUCGGAAGGAACACCAGUGGCGAAAGCGGCUUCCUGGUCCAGCACCGACGUCAGGCACGAAAGCGUGGGGAGCAAACAGG